AGCGCCCUACGGGACGCAGCAGUGGGGGAUAUUGCACAAUGGGGGAAACCCUGAUGCAGCGACGCCGCGUGUGGGAAGACGGUGCUCUGGAUUGUAAGCCACUGUCCCCAGGGACGAAGAUGACGGUACCUGGGGAGGAAGCUCCGGCUAACUACGUGCCAGCAGCCGCGGUAAUACGUAGGGAGCAAGCGUUGUCCGGAAUUACUGGGUGUAAAGGGAGCGUAGGCGGGAUGGCAAGUUGGGUGUUAAAUCUACCGGCUCAACUGGUAGUCGCACUCAAAACUGCUAUUCUUGAUUGAAGUAGG
rnacentral:rRNA from 1 species